rnacentral:rRNA from 1 species
GAAUAUUGGACAAUGGGCGAAAGCCUGAUCCAGCAAUGCCGCGUGAGUGAUGAAGGCCCUAGGGUUGUAAAGCUCUUUUACCAGGGAUGAUAAUGACAGUACCUGGAGAAUAAGCGCCGGCUCGCCCCGUGCCCGCAGCCGCGGUAAUACGGAGGGAGCUAGCGUUGUUCGGAAUUACUGGGCGUAAAGCGCACGUAGGCGGCGAUUCAAGUCAGGGGUGAAAGCCCGGGGCUCAACCCCGGAACUGCCUUUGAAACUAGAUUGCUAGAAUCCUGGAGAGGCGAGUGGAAUUCCGAGUGUAGAGGUGAAAUUCGUAGAUAUUCGGAAGAACACCAGUGGCGAAGGCGACUCGCUGGACAGGUAUUGACGCUGAGGUGCGAAAGCGUGGGGAGCAAACAGG